UGGGGAAUUUUGGACAAUGGGCGCAAGCCUGAUCCAGCCAUGCCGCGUGUCUGAAGAAGGCCUUCGGGUUGUAAAGGACUUUUGUCAGGGAAGAAAAGGCUGUCGCUAAUACCGACAGUUGAUGACGGUACCUGAAGAAUAAGCACCGGCUAACUACGUGCCAGCAGCCGCGGUAAUACGUAGGGUGCAAGCGUUAAUCGGAAUUACUGGGCGUAAAGCGAGCGCAGACGGUUACUUAAGCAGGAUGUGAAAUCCCCGGGCUCAACCUGGGAACUGCGUUCUGAACUGGGUGACUAGAGUGUGUCAGAGGGAGGUAGAAUUCCACGUGUAGCAGUGAAAUGCGUAGAGAUGUGGAGGAAUACCGAUGGCGAAGGCAGCCUCCUGGGAUAACACUGACGUUCAUGCUCGAAAGCGUGGGUAGCAAACAGGAUUAGAUACCCUGGUAGUCCACGCCCUAAACGAUGUCAAUUAGCUGUUGGGCAGCUUGAUUGCUUAGUAGCGUAGCUAACGCGUGAAAUUGACCGCCUGGGGAGUACGGUCGCAAGAUUA
rnacentral:rRNA from 1 species